AAAUUGAAGAGUUUGAUCAUGGCUCAGAUUGAACGCUGGCGGCAGGCCUAACACAUGCAAGUCGAACGGUAACAGGAAGAAGCUUGCUUCUUUGCUGACGAGUGGCGGACGGGUGAGUAAUGUCUGGGAAACUGCCUGAUGGAGGGGGAUAACUACUGGAAACGGUAGCUAAUACCGCAUAACGUCGCAAGACCAAAGAGGGGGACCUUCGGGCCUCUUGCCAUCGGAUGUGCCCAGAUGGGAUUAGCUUGUUGGUGGGGUAACGGCUCACCAAGGCGACGAUCCCUAGCUGGUCUGAGAGGAUGACCAGCCACACUGGAACUGAGACACGGUCCAGACUCCUACGGGAGGCAGCAGUGGGGAAUAUUGCACAAUGGGCGCAAGCCUGAUGCAGCCAUGCCGCGUGUAUGAAGAAGGCCUUCGGGUUGUAAAGUACUUUCAGCGGGGAGGAAGGGAGUAAAG
rnacentral:rRNA from 1 species